AACGAACGCUGGCGGCAUGCCUAACACAUGCAAGUCGAACGAGACCUUCGGGUCUAGUGGCGCACGGGUGCGUAACGCGUGGGAACCUGCCUUUAGGUUCGGAAUAACUCAGAGAAAUUUGAGCUAAUACCGGAUGAUUUCUUCGGACCAAAGAUUUAUCGCCUUUAGAUGGGCCCGCGUUGGAUUAGCUAGUUGGUGGGGUAAAGGCCUACCAAGGCGACGAUACAUAGCUGGUCUGAGAGGAUGAUCAGCCACACUGGGACUGAGACACGGCCCAGAAUACUACGGGAGGCAGCAGUGGGGAAUAUUGGACAAUGGGCGAAAGCCUGAUCCAGCAAUGCCGCGUGAGUGAUGAAGGCCUUAGGGUUGUAAAGCUCUUUUAUCCGAGAUGAUAAUGACAGUAUCGGGAGAAUAAGCUCCGGCUAACUCCGUG
rnacentral:rRNA from 1 species